rnacentral:rRNA from 1 species
GUGGGGAAUCUUGCGCAAUGGGCGAAAGCCUGACGCAGCCAUGCCGCGUGAAUGAUGAAGGUCUUAGGAUUGUAAAAUUCUUUCACCGGGGACGAUAAUGACGGUACCCGGAGAAGAAGCUCCGGCUAACUUCGUGCCAGCAGCCGCGGUAAUACGAAGGGGGCUAGCGUUGCUCGGAAUUACUGGGCGUAAAGGGCGCGUAGGCGGACAGCUUAGUCAGAGGUGAAAGCCCAGGGCUCAACCUUGGAAUUGCCUUUGAGACUGGCUGUCUUGAGUUUGGGAGAGGUGAGUGGAACUCCGAGUGUAGAGGUGAAAUUCGUAGAUAUUCGGAAGAACACCAGUGGCGAAGGCGACUCACUGGCCCAAUACUGACGCUGAGGCGCGAAAGCGUGGGGAGCAAACAGGAUUAGAUACCCGUGUAGUCC